rnacentral:rRNA from 1 species
GGUUGAUCCUGCCAGUAACAUAUGCUUGUCUCAAAGAUUAAGCCAUGCAGGUCUAAGUGCACACGGCCGGUACAGUGAAACUGCGAAUGGCUCAUUAAAUCAGUUAUGGUUCCUUUGAUCGCUCCCACCCGUACUUGGAUAACUGUGGCAAUUCCAGAGCUAAUACAUGCAAACGAGCGCUGACGGGCUCCCUCUUCGGGGGGGGCCUCGGAUGCGUGCAUUUAUCAGAUCCAAAAACCCAUCCGGGGGCCUCGUGCCCCCGGUCCGCUUUGGUGACUCUAGAUAACCUCGGG